rnacentral:rRNA from 1 species
UUAGGAAUAUUCGUCAAUGGGGGAAACCCUGAACGAGCAAUGCCGCGUGAGUGAUGACGGUCCUCUGGAUUGUAAAACUCUGUUGUUUAGGAAAAACGGUACAUACAGGAAAUGGUAUGUAAUUGAUGGUACUAUUCAAGAAAGCCACGGCUAACUACGUGCCAGCAGCCGCGGUAAUACGUAGGUGGCGAGCGUUAUCCGGAUUUAUUGGGCGUAAAGCGUCCGCAGACGGUUUGUUAAGUCUAGAAUCAAAGCCCGGAGCUUAACUUCGGUUCGUUCUAGAAACUGGCAGACUUGAGUAUA